rnacentral:rRNA from 1 species
GACGAACGCUGGCGGCGUGCUUAACACAUGCAAGUCGAGCGGAAAGGCCCUUUCGGGGGUACUCGAGCGGCGAACGGGUGAGUAACACGUGAGUAAUCUGCCCUUGGCUUCGGGAUAACUACCGGAAACGGUGGCUAAUACCGGAUAUGACACCUUCUGGCAUCGGGGGUGUGGAAAGUUUUUCGGCCAGGGAUGUGCUCGCGGCCUAUCAGCUUGUUGGUGGGGUAAUGGCCUACCAAGGCUUCGACGGGUAGCCGGCCUGAGAGGGUGACCGGCCACACUGGGACUGAGACACGGCCCAGACUCCUACGGGAGGCAGCAGUGGGGAAUAUUGGACAAUGGGCGGAAGCCUGAUCCAGCAACGCCGCGUGAGGGAUGACGGCCU